CGUGCCUCGUCCCUCGCUCGGGUCGCUGUGCGCCCUGCGCUGCUCGCACCGCCGAUAAACAGCACGAGUCUGGCGUACUUUUCGUUAUACCGUGACCGUAAAACGCCGUGCUGGCGACCUCUACCUAGCUGUUUAAGAGCAGUGGAUUGUGAAUUCAAGCCGUUGAUAUUCUGACGUUAUCAGCAUUACUGUCUUCGAGAGAAAGGAAGUUCUCCAAGAAUCUUCGGGGGAUGCACCAUGACAUCAGUAGUGAUUGACAAUGGAGGCCCUGCCCUGGAAUUUGACAGCAGUGAGAUAAAAAAUCAAGAGGUUAGAAAAGAAGAUGAGCCAGUCUCUGAAUUCCCAGCAGUGGUUGUGGAGCCAGUUCCUAGUGCCAGACUAGAACAGGGUUACGCUGCUCAGGUCCUGGUUUAUGAUGAUGAGACUUACCUGAUGCAAGAUGUAGCAGAGGAACAAGAAAUUGAGACUGAAACUGUGGAAACAGUAGAAGCAUCAGUUCAUGGCAGUAAUGUGCACUGCACAGAUAAGACAAUUGAAGCUGCAGAGGCCUUGCUUCAUAUGGAGUCUCCUACCUGCCUGAGAGAUGCCAGGAGUCCUGUGGAAGUUUUUGUCCCUCCUUGUGUGUCCACCCCAGAAUUUAUCCAUGCAGCCAUGAGACCCGAUGUGAUCACAGAAACCGUGGUGGAAGUGUCAACAGAGGAAUCUGAACAAAUGGAUGUAUCUCCUGUUCCAACUUCCCCUGAUAUCCAUGAACCAAUGAAAAAGAAAAAGGCUGGCCGUAAACCCAAGACCCAGCAAUCAGCUUUAUCUGAUGGGUCUCCAGAUCUAGGUAUAAAGAAGAAACCUAGAGAAGGCAAAGGGAAUACAACAUACUUGUGGGAGUUCCUUUUGGACCUUCUUCAGGACAAGAAUACCUGUCCUCGAUAUAUUAAAUGGACUCAGAGAGAGAAAGGAAUCUUUAAACUUGUGGAUUCAAAAGCUGUCUCCAAACUCUGGGGAAAACACAAAAACAAACCUGACAUGAACUACGAGACUAUGGGAAGAGCUCUGAGGUACUACUAUCAAAGAGGAAUCCUGGCAAAAGUUGAGGGACAGAGGCUGGUAUAUCAGUUUAAGGAGAUGCCAAAAAAUAUAGUUGUCAUAGAUGAUGACAAAAGUGAGUCCUGCCAUGAAGAUUUGUCGAUGCCUACAGAUGAAAAGUCCCUGGAAAGAGUGUCUUUAUCUGCAGAAAACCUUUUAAAAGCAGCAACCUCUGCACGUGAAGGGAAAAAUUCCUCUCAGUUAAACUGUACCAGAACAGAAAAAGCAGUCACCAGAGUUGUGAAUAUUGCCUCACCAGCUCACGACACAUCCUCAUCUCAUCCUUCUACUACCACUGCCACUGUCCCAGCAACAACAGCCCCCAGGACAGUUCGUGUGGCAAUGCAAGUGCCCGUCGUCAUGACCUCUCUGGGACAGAAAAUCUCAACGGUGGCAGUGCAGUCAGUAAACGCAGGCUCGCCGUUGAUAACCAACGCGAGCCCAACCGCGGCGACGACUCCCAAGGUGGUGAUCCAGACAAUCCCUACUGUGAUGCCCACCUCUGCUGAAAAUGGAGACAAGAUCACGAUGCAGCCCACCAAAAUCAUCACCAUCCCUGCCACGCAACUCACGCAGUGUCAGCUGCAAACGAAAACGGGCCUGUCCGGGUCGGGAAGUAUCAACAUCGUGGGAGCCCCGUUGGCCGUUCGAGCGCUAACCCCGGUGUCCAUAGCUCACGGGGCCCCGGUAAUGAGACUGUCGGUUCCUGCUCAGCAGGCCUCUGGCCAGACUCCUCCCAGGGUGAUCAGUGCAGUUCUCAAAGGCCCAGAAGUUAAAUCAGACACAGCCGCUUCGAAACAGGAAUGCGAAGUGAAAACGCUGCAGCUGGUAAAAGAGGAGAAGCCGGCGGAUGGGAGCAAGACUGUGACCCACGUAGUAGUAGUUAGUACACCCUCGGCUAUUGCCCUCCCUGUGACAGUGAAAACAGAAGGAAUCAUCGCCUGCGAGAAAUGAAGAAUGGGUUUCUUCCGGCACGGACUUGUAACUGUUACGGUUUUGAAUAUACUGACAUGACUGGGGGAGGGACGUGGAUGCCGCCACCAAGUCGUAAAGGAGAGUUUUGGAAUGUUAAUAAACAUGCCUAUGCUGAAGACUUACUGGAAAAAAAAAAAAAAAUUAUUUUCCCGUGUUUCAGUGGGAAUUAAACCACACUGAUAUGCCGAUAAAAACUGCCUCUUCCAGUUGGGAAACAGCUGAACCUGUGGAGAAGGAAAGAGAGAGGGACUGAAAAGGGACCAAACAAUUUCACUACGCUACCGGUUACCGAGUUACACUAAGACCUGAAACACUAAGAGAGAGCUGUGUGAGAGGCAUCCAUCCUAAUAUAAAUGAUACAGUGUGAAAUUUUGGGACUCCUGCCUGCUUCAAAGGGCUGACCAGCUCUCUCACUCUGUUCAAAUACCUGUGACUACAGCUACCUUGCUGUAGCUGGUGAGGUAACUUCUGGCAGGGGUGUAGUUCUUACACGGUUUCAGGAUGGUGAGUAUACACAUGAGCUCUGUGAGCUGCCUGACUGCUCCUCCAGCUACGCCAGAUAUUAGCUCCGUACUUCCAGUCCAUGUGCAUGGCUCGAAACGUAGCCUACCCUGGCACAUCAGGCUGUGGGUAGUCCCGUGCCCAGUGGAUCCCAGUUCCCAGUGAUAAUGCCCUGAAAAGUCUUCAGGGCAGGAACUUGGGUAAUCUUGAAAUCCUUGAAGUCUAAACGACCAUCGGAGCAGCAAUUUUAAUGGCUGUCUGAAGGAACUGGAGUCUUCUGUAACGCUAAAAGACACCAGAGUGAAAUACUUUACACACUGAGAACCAGGUUACUUGUAGAGUCCUGGCAGCAAGGCCCGUUCUUCCCUUCAGCUGGGAAGAAAAGUAGAAAUAGCUCCACACAGCCAGGCCAGCAUGUGGGGGGACCUUGAAAGGCUUCUGGAAAAACUAUUCUUUUUCAUCCUCUCGAGCAGGGAAGUGGAGUUUGAGAGCAAAAUGAAGCUGAAGCAGAUAAAAAGUUGUGUAUAAGGCAGCAAUCCCUUCCGUUGGUAGCAAUGCGAAGAAUCAAAGGUUCUUACACAUGAACUGUGUUUCUGGCAUGAGGUAGAGGACAAAGACCCCUUCACACAAGGAAAUGGAGAGAAAAGAGGACUUUUUCUUCCUAAGAAAGAGGUAGGAAAGGGAAGUAGGGGAAGCUGGGCAAUCGCUUGAUUAAUUUGGAAGUCUGAGAGGCACUAAUGUUCUGCACAAAGGGAAAUGGAACAGCGUAAAGAGAGGCAGGUGAAACAAAUCUGAACCAAAGGCCAAGAAGGGAGAGACAAGUCUUUUUAAACCUGCAAUUGUAAGUCCAGUCUGUAAGAAACCUUAUUCUAAAUGGCUGCUAUUUGAUUGUGUCUGAAAGAGAUGCUGUAUCUCAGAGCAUGAAAUGUCUAUGUUGAGUACUUGUAAUUAGACCUUUCCAGCGCCUAAUUUAGAUACACUUGAAGUCAAAUGGGGACAAACUAUCUUCCUAGAAUUAGAUAAGGAUCUCCAGCUGAUGACCUUCUUCUCUUAAUGCCAAGACUGCAUUAUGUAAUGGUAGAAACUGGAGGAAUGAAGGCACCCAACUCCACUGCUGGUGGGACAGUCAGCUCUGAGCCACUGCCAGUGCUGUCUUGCCCCGGAGCCAGUGAUGGUCCUUUGGCUCUCUCCCCUGGCCACCAGUGAGCGGCACAUGACGCUGGCUGCCAGAGGAUAUUUACCUGGAGUUCAUGAAGUGCUGUGAGAAUCCCAGGCUGUGUGAGGAUGCUGUGACUGAAAUGGAAAGGGGACUUAGCCUGAUUCUGCAAAUCAGUGUUUGUACUGGUGGUAUUGGAGGACAUGACCUCGGGAUGAGGGUGCUUUGGUUAGGGUGCUUUGUAACAUCUGAAACAGAUGAAAGGAACACUAGAAUAUUGAAAUACUUAGUAUCUAGCUGAAUUCCCAGGCUUUUGCAAUCCCAUUGAAAAAGCUGUUGAUUUGUACAUGUGUGAAAGCGGGACUCCCUUUUACCGGAUCUGAAUCUGGUGGCUCAUGUAGAAGAGUCCAAGCUUAACGCAUCCUUGGCAAGCAGGAACUCGUAGAUGUGUGGGUAGAAUGAAACUUGUGUGAAGUGAGUAUGCUUUAUACAGAAGGCAUUCAGCCAUACACAGACUUGGUACCACUGAUUUUGCAGAUAAAAACUAUUUUUAUUUUUCAAAUCCCCUGUUUUAAGUUACAGAAUGAAAAGGGUGAUGCUGUGUAAUCCACAGGAGAGAAAAAAAGUCUUAGCUGUGAGUUGCAACUCAGAAUAAAUGUCUGAGUAUCAAAAAUAAGAAAAGUUGGAAGGAGAAUCCCAUUCCAGAGAGAACUGGUUUUGUUAACCCUCUCUUGCACAUCUUUCCCAGUGAAGGGUUCUGGGUCUUGAUACAGCUCAGGUUGUCUGGGUAAAGUGUGCUGAAAGGAAGGCUGAACUCUUGGGAUCCUCUGCUAAUUAAUUUCAUCAACUUUAGGGCUUUGGAGAGUUACAUCUGAGGUGAUCGAGGAUGAGUGAGCCAGGGACAGUCAGAAGUUGAGGAGACAAUGGAGAGGUGCCCGAAGCCUCAAGUUCGUACUCAGCACGACAUGCGCGGCAGGGAUCUCAGCUGCACGCGAGGAUUGUUACUGCCCGAACAAGCUAAGUGCAUCCUGCCUUGUACAGACAGCUCAAAUAGCAGGUGUUAGGAUUAUUAAUAUGUGAUCCAAAUGACACUGUGUAUUUGGGAUCUAAUAGUUCUCCAGGAGAGAUGGUGUUUUAAAAAGCUUGUGACAGCUUCUGCCUCUCAGCAAAUUAAACAAGUGGGUCAUUUCUUCCUGCAGCUUGCUUGAGAGAGAUGGAAAAGUGUCGCUACUGAAGCUAAGGCAGCCUUUAUUCAAGAUGAAAGCAAGGGAUCUGUGCAGACUUUUUUUAGCCUUAUAAGCCAUACAUCCAUAAGAAGACCUUGGAAGACAUUUUUUACUGUAAGAGUCAUACUGCUACACAGGAAAAAAAAAAAAUCCUUUCUGCUUCUUCUGAAAGAUAUUCAGUGUACUGAUAUUUAUAGCUGGCAAAAGUAUUUCAGUGCUGCAGGCUAGCCUCUUGCUGCAUAAAACAAAGCAAGAGCAAUAAUCCAUUUAAGUUUUCCAAAAGAGUCUGUCUGCAAAAUAAAUUAUGGCAGGUACUGAAGCUGCCUGGGAACUUACUGGUUAAUUUCUGCAGCCUGUCUGCCUUUUUAUUAAAAACCAGCAGAAAGGGCUCACCACGGGGCAUUGGGCUGUAGCAGGGAUUUUCUGAGUAAGACAGUGUUAAGAAUUGCCUUGAGAUGGGAAGAGUCCCCAGCCUUCAAAAUUACCCUUUAAGGAGUUGAAGCAGUGAACAUCUACUGUAACAUGUCCGGGAUGAGAGAAGAAUCCCAGCCCUUUCCACUUAAGGAGAGGUUCUGCAGUGAUGGCAGCGUCGUACAAAUCACGCUCCUUCUCGACAGUCUGGUUUCUCGUGUGCGAGAAUCAGCGCUGGAAGCAAGGCUUUGAGUUACAAUGUCUUAAGAACCCUCCAGAUACCAUACACUCCACUGUGAGAGUGGCAGUGAGAGUCCUGCAGCUGUGAUAGUUCAAAAAAAGCCUCCCAUGACUGUGGCUCUGUGCUCUGGCAGUGGGAAAGGUACCACACCAAUGGACGCCUUGACUGGCCUGAGGAAAGUGGAGCUGCUUAUACAAAAGUGGAAUGCAAUCCUAGGCUUUUUGGUGGGAGUGCUGGGGGUUUUUUGGUUAUGGUUUAGUUUGUUUUUAAAUACAGACGUGACCUUUGCUCUCAAGUCAGGGCUUUCUACCACAAGGGCAGUUUCUUCCAGAAACUGCCAAAAGGGGUCUGGAUUGAAGCUCCAGGUUCAAUCCAGUGAGUUUUUGUGGCAGAUGAGCAAGGAUUUGACCUGCUAAAGGUACUGUCUUAGAGGUCCACAUUGUGGUGUUGAUUUUAGAAGUGUUGAUGAGCUAAUUAAUGGGCACUUGUAUUACUUUUCCUCCUUGCAAGACCAUUUGAGGGAAGGCCCUGAGAGAAAAUAAUCCUGACGGAGAAACACUGCAUCUCACCCCUUCUGCACAACACCAGGAAAUUGCAUCUCUUGCCUAAAAUCCCCCCCAAAAUGCCACCCUUCUGGCUUCCGGGGACACAAUUUGUUCUUUCUGAAAUUCCAACCAAAGGAGGUUGCCAGCAUGUUGCACCUGCCUGGUAAGAGUAUUCAGCAAGGCCAUUGUCUCCUUGGUGGUAAAAUCCUUUCUGUCUGGGGAAAGACAAAUCCAGAGAAAUCCCAGGCUGGUUAAAGGAGCCUCUGCUUGGAAGCAGACCAUUGCCCUCAUCCUGCAAGGGUCAGGAACAUGUGCAGAGCAUGUUAGAGCUGCACAAAAGCACUUCAUUUGUUUGCCUGGAAUGUGAGGAGUGUGCUCGUGUGGGAAUUUGGGACUUCCAAUCACCAGACUCCCUAUUUCCCUUCUCGGCAAUGCAAGCAUAGUAAUUUAUGGGCUGUGCAAAGCUCACACCUGCGGCGUUUCUUCUCUUCAGAUGAGGUUUUAGCAGAAAGUGGCAGAUACAGCUGCAUCCUGCAAGGGGCCAGCCUGCCCAGGCACACUUUGCAGCCCUCAGGGAGGAAUUCCUGCACUUCGCUUUGCAGGACUAGCUAGGUUUGUAGUUCCACACAGCUGUGGGAAAGGGGAAUAGUUACAGUGUAGGUUUCCUCUCUUAACUCUGGAAGGGUGAGCAGCUUAACAGCUAAGCAUAACUCCCUUCCCUUCAGACUUGUGAAAUUUGGACAUCCCAAGUUGGAGGAGUGUGCUGUGAAGGCAAAGCAGCUGUGCCACUCUGAGAUUAGGGUCAGGGGUGGGGGAAAAGAGGUCUGGAAGGGGAAGCAUCAGCUUGAAGCUCAAACUAGUUGAGAUAUGUCACCUUCUUGGCAACAGGAACUUGUGACAGUGAAGUGAGAAAGACAGGCAGCA